GCUGGGCACGGUGGCACGUGCCUGUAAUCCCAACUACUUGGGAGGCUGAGGUGGGAGGAUUGCUUGAGCCCAGGAGUUCUGGGCUGUAGUGCACUAUGCCGAUUGCCUGUCCGCACUAAGUUUGGCAGCAGUAUGGUGACCUCCCGGGAGUGGGGGACCACCAGGUUGCCUAAGGAGGGGUGAACCAGCCCAGGUCGGAAAUGGAGCAGGUCAAAACUCCCAUGCUGAUCAGUAGUGGGAUUGCACCUGUGAAUAGCCACUGCACUCCAGCCUGGGCAAUGUAGUGAGACCCCAUCUCAU
ensembl:misc_RNA Metazoa_SRP Metazoan signal recognition particle RNA